rnacentral:lncRNA from 1 species
GAAAGUGAAGGCCUGACAACUGGAGAGGGUGGCUUGGGGGAAUGAAGAGGCCACAGGCCUGGGCCAGGAGCUCAGUUCUGCCUCCAACUCUUACCACAGGCCAGUUGCUCUCAACUGUGACAAGUCACUUACCCUUCAGAGCCUCUCUUUCUGCUGCUGUAAACCAAGGAGGGCUUGAAUGCCCUGUGCCCAUCCUGCUGUGAUUCAGGAGUCUCGCAGAAGACAUCAGAAUGCCUUUCUCUGAGUCACAGUCUGUAUCUUCUAGAAAAGGCUGUCCAUCUUCACCCCAAGCCCACUGGCUCCUGAGAUACGACAUCCAGACCCAGUGCAGCUGGACCUGGCCCAGGAAGAUCAUGCGGUUUCUGGGAAGCACUGGAGAAGGAAAAGGCUGAAGAAAGGAAGACCGGAAAAGAAAUACAAGUCCUUCCGCCUUGGCAAAGAUGAUAGUACCGUUCCCUUCAGUGUUCCGGUUCUGCUCUAUUGGAUAAGUUCCGGUUUGACUAUGACUACGUGAAAAUGUGGAACCAGACCUUCACCCCACAUUCCAGCUCCAGCUCUACCACAGAGGAAGUGCAAUAUCACCUUAGUUAUUCAACACAUUAUGCUCCUCGUGAUACAACCAGAGUUCACAUCAGCAAUCUUGGCAGCUCUCACCACGCUGCUGACUCACGACUCUCUCAUGUCCCAAUUUCCUGUCCAUUGUUCUUUCCUCUACUUGGCCUGAUUUCUAAAGGCCUCUCUUGGUUGCAUUAAGCGGGAUUCCUGAGGGAUUCCCUUGGCAGUUACCUUGGGGGAGCUCUUAGGUUUGGGGCUGAUCCAUGUCCUCUAAAUGUAGGACUUCAAAGCUCCCAAAGAUAGGCAGGCCCAGUGGGAAGCUGGGAAAUGCUCUCUGACCCCUCUGGGAGGGCUGGCAGUCAGAGGGCCUUUUGGAAAGAGUCAGACCUGAUCCAUAAGUCCCUGGAAAACACCCUGCCCAGGGAGCAAAUGCCACUGUGGCCUUGACUGAGGCUUCAGAAGAGUUUGGGAGCUGCAAUUCAUCCACACACGCAUUCAUUUUCAAGUAGUGGUUUGCAGUUCAGGCUUUGGAGCCACAUAAGCCUGGCUUCAAAGCCACUUUCCAGCUUUGUAGGAAGUCUCUACAUUUUUAAACCUCCAUUUUUUUUUCCUGUAAAACUGGGGUCUUCAUGGUACUUAACUUCAUCGUGAUGUUGAGAGAAUGAAAAGAAAAAGGAUAAAUAAAUGGCUUAGCCUCGUGCCUUGGCA